UCUUAUGGAUGAGCAAGAAAGUGGUUUCUUGAGACGGAAUCUACUCCUGAAGAUGCUGUGAC
rnacentral:pre_miRNA from 1 species